rnacentral:rRNA from 1 species
GACGAACGCUGGCGGCGUGCUUAACACAUGCAAGUCGAACGGUGAAAGAAGAGCUUGCUCUUCUGGAUCAGUGGCGAACGGGUGAGUAACACGUGAGUAACCUGCCCCAGACUCUGGAAUAAGCGCUGGAAACGGCGUCUAAUACCGGAUACGAGACAGAGCUACAUGGCUACUGUCUGGAAAGUUUUUCGGUCUGGGAUGGACUCGCGGCCUAUCAGCUUGUUGGUGAGGUAACGGCUCAACAAGGCAACGACGGGUAGCCGGCCUGAGAGGGCGACCGGCCACACUGGGACUGAGACACGGCCCAGACUCCUACGGGAGGCAGCAGUGGGGAAUAUUGCACAAUGGGCGAAAGCCUGAUGCAGCGACGCCGCGUGAGGGAUGACGGCCUUCGGGUUGUAAACCUCUUUCAGCAGGGAAGAAGCGAAAGUGACGGUACCUGCAGAAGAAGCACCGGCUAACUACGUG